rnacentral:rRNA from 1 species
AACGAACGCUGGCGGCAGGCUUAACACAUGCAAGUCGAGCGCCCCGCAAGGGGAGCGGCAGACGGGUGAGUAACGCGUGGGAAUCUACCCAUCUCUACGGAAUAACGCAUGGAAACGUGUGCUAAUACCGUAUACGUCCUUCGGGAGAAAGAUUUAUCGGAGAUGGAUGAGCCCGCGUUGGAUUAGCUAGUUGGUGGGGUAAAGGCCUACCAAGGCGACGAUCCAUAGCUGGUCUGAGAGGAUGAUCAGCCACACUGGGACUGAGACACGGCCCAACCUCCUGCGGGAGGCAGAAGGGGGGAAUAUUGGAAAUGGGGCGCAGGCCUACCCCAGCCAUGCCGGGUGAGUGAUGAGGGCCCUAGGUUUGAAAGCCUCUUCCCCCGGUGAAGAAAAGGACGAUAACGGGAGAAGAACCCCCGGCAAACUGCGCCCCAGCACCCGCCGCAGAAA